rnacentral:rRNA from 1 species
GAUGAACGCUGGCGGCGUGCCUAAUACAUGCAAGUCGAGCGAAUGGAUUAAGAGCUUGCUCUUAUGAAGUUAGCGGCGGACGGGUGAGUAACACGUGGGUAACCUGCCCAUAAGACUGGGAUAACUCCGGGAAACCGGGGCUAAUACCGGAUAACAUUUUGAACCGCAUGGUUCGAAAUUGAAAGGCGGCUUCGGCUGCCACUUAUGGAUGGACCCGCGUCGCAUUAGCUAGUUGGUGAGGUAACGGCUCACCAAGGCAACGAUGCGUAGCCGACCGGAGAGGGUGAUCGGCCACACUGGGACUGAGACACGGCCCAGACUCCUACGGGAGGUAGCAGUAGGGAAUCUUCCGCAAUGGACGAAAGUCUGACGGAGCAACGCCGCGUGAGUGAUGAAGGCCUUCGGGUCGUAAAACUCUGUUGUUAGGGAAGAACAAGUGCUAGUUGAAUAAGCUGGCACCUUGACGGUACCUAACCAGAAAGCCACGGCUAACUACGUGCCAGCCGCCGCCGUAA